rnacentral:lncRNA from 1 species
CCUCCUUUAUUACUCAGUUCACAUCAUAUUCUGAGCAAAGAUAUGUAUGCAUAACUGUGUACACUGAAACACAUGAUAUAAAAAAUGAUCCCAAUUAAGGGAUAGUUUUUUUUACAUAUUUUGUAGAAAUAAGUUGUAGCAAGCUUUUUGACGCGGCCAGGCGACCAGGCGAUGCCUGGGACCGCAUACCGCAUAUGCGACCGCCUGGUCGCAUAUGCGGUCCAAUAUGCGACAUUUAUUUUUAUUUUUUUCAAUAUACCCGAAUUCCCGAUUUAAUUUAACACUUCACCGACUGGAACACUCUGAAUUCCAGAUUUAAUUCCAGAUGUUAGGUAUUUCAAAUAUCUAACUAUGAAAAUUCCAGAUUUAAAGAAUAAAGAGAGAAACUGGAUGUGAUUUAUAAGGUCCUUUCUCAAUUCGAUGAGCCCAUAGCUAUUACCUUAUUGUUUACAAGUUUAUAUCAAAAUAAAUAUCAAGGUGCAGAUGUGAUUAAAGACAUCGUCUUUGUAAAAUAACUUUAAGAUGCAUAUGUGUUAUGCAAAAUAAAGUACUGCCCACCGUUAGGUAUACCCAUCUGGAAACGCGAUUUCUACCUUGUAAUCGCGGAAGCAGCUAAAUAUGCGCGUCGCGGAAGCAGCUAAUCGCGGAAGCAGAGAUUCCUACCUUGUACCUUCGUCGAUCGUCGAUUUCCAGAGUGGGUUCCGCGAUUUAGGAUUUAGGAGGAUUUAGG